UGCGUUGGCGGCCGAGUAAGUCAGUGGUGAAAGCCCAUCGCUCAACGGUGGAACGGCCAUUGAUACUGCUAGACUUGAAUUAUUAGGAAGUAACUAGAAUAUGUAGUGUAGCGGUGAAAUGCUUAGAGAUUACAUGGAAUACCAAUUGCGAAGGCAGGUUACUACUAAUGGAUUGACGCUGAUGGACGAAAGCGUGGGUAGCGAACAGGAUUAGAUACCCUCGUA
rnacentral:rRNA from 1 species